rnacentral:tRNA from 1 species
GAUAAGAUGCCUGAAAAAAAGGAUAAUUUUGAUAGAAUUAAAAAUGUGACGAUUUCACUCUUAUUA